rnacentral:rRNA from 1 species
GAUGAACGCUAGCUACAGGCUUAACACAUGCAAGUCGAGGGGUAACGAGAGGAAAGCUUGCUUUCCUUGUUGACGACCGGCGCACGGGUGAGUAACGCGUAUCCAACCUGCCCCCAACUAGGGAAUAACCUUGCGAAAGUAAGACUAAUACCCUAUAAUUUCCUCAGAUGUCAUCUGACGAGGAAUAAAGAUUUAUCGGUUGUGGAUGGGGAUGCGUCUGAUUAGCUUGUUGGCGGGGUAACGGCCCACCAAGGCAACGAUCAGUAGGGGUUAUGAGAGGAAGGUCCCCCACAUUGGAACUGAGACACGGUCCAAACUCCUACGGGAGGCAGCAGUGAGGAAUAUUGGUCAAUGGGCGGAAGCCUGAACCAGCCAAGUAGCGUGCAGGAUGACGGCCCUAUGGGUUGUAAACUGCUUUUAUACAGGAAUAAAGUUAGCCACGUGUGGUUAUUUGUAGGUACUGUAUGAAUAAGGACCGGCUAAUUCCGUGCCAGCAGCCGCCGCCG